AUAGAGAAUAUAUAGAAGGGCAACUCGCAGGUGAAACGCGUGGCAUAUUUUCUGUGCGCAUGCGUUAGGUCCGCCAUUACUCUGGCCAGUAACUUGACGCUGGCGUACUAUAAAAUAAUAUUGGAAAAGUGCGAUUUUGGGAUAAUAAUCGCCUAAAACGCAAACUGUUUUGGAAGAUCAUGGAAUUUUGUGACAAAACGUGAAAGAAAUAAGUUGUUAUUUUGGCAUUCAGUUCUCAAGUGAGGAUUAUGUUGCAAGUGUCUUGUGUUAUGUAGUUUUAGUAUGUUGGAUUAGAUUUUAGUGGCUACUUGUUGCAGCAGCAUGUUAAACUUUGUUUAUUUAAUUAUAUUACGUUUUUAUUAUGAUUGGGUGGUUUUUGUAAGGGUGCUCUAUUAAACAUUGAUCACAAUUUCUUCAGCUUAA